ensembl:lncRNA
AUGGAGAGGGGGGAGGUGGGUUCUGUGCCCCUUCCUCAGCGCCCUCAGUGUCCUCCGGGUGGCUGCAGUGCCAAGGACAGGGUGUCCCCAGGGUGCCACCCCUGUGUCCCCUCUCCCCAGGAGCCCUGUAGCCCCUGUCAAGUGCACAGAAAGGACUGGGAAGGACAAUGUCACCUUGGGGGAGGGAUGCUGCUGCCUGCCUGCUCCUGCCCAGACACUUUGCUGGCUCUCUGCUCUGGGCACGGGGCUGGCAGGAUUCCACCACCCAAAUCCCAUCCACCACAGGGACACUUGUGCCUGUUUUUUUCUUGGCUGGCAGGCAGGGAGGGAGCCUCAGCUCUGCCCAGCCUCAUCCAGCAGCAUAAAAAUCCAUCAGCAGCUGCUGCCCUGUGCCCCCCAUCAACCUCCAGCCAAAGGGACAAGGAACAGCCCCUCUGUGUCCCCUCCCCAGUGACACUGUCCCUGCUGUCCUGGGCUCUUUGUGGAGGGAUGUCACCGUGCUGCCUGGUGCCCAAGUGCCAGCAGGAGCUGCAGGUGCUCAGGACCCAUCAGGAUGCCCAGGCCACCCCAAUUCCCUCUGUAGGGCAUUGGGGUCAUUGGGGGGCCCAGAGCCAUAGCAGUGCCCCCGUGUGCUCUGCCUUCAGCGGUGUCUCUCUCGUCCUAGUUCCCUUAUGCUGCUCCACCUCCUCAGGAACCCGUGAAGACCCUCAGGAGUUUAAUCAACAUCCGCAAGGACACCCUGCGCCUCGUCAAGAUGGAGGAUGAGCCUCUGCCCUUCCCCUCCUGGCUCCCAGGGCCGUUCUCAUUCCUGCACGAUGGAGGAUGAGCCCCUGUCCUUCCCCUGCUCUCAUUCAGGAUGGAGGAUGANGAACAGCGACCUCAACUUCCUGGGCAACCGGCCCGUGGUGGUGGGUACCGGGGGAAGCGGGGCACCGGGGGGAACCGGGGAGGCUGAGUGUGACAGGGGGUGUGUGUAACAGGGGGUGUGUGUGACAUGAUGGGUGUGCGGAACAGGCUGAGUGUGACAGAGGGUGUGUGGGAUAGGCUGUGUGUGACAGGGGGGUGUGCGGGACAGGCUGAGUGUGACAGGGGGUGUGUGGGACAGGCUGUGUGUGACAUGAAGGCUGUGUGUGACAGGCUGAGUGUGACAGGGACUGUGUGGGACAGGCUGAGUGUGACAGGGGGUGUGUGUGUGAAAAGGGGUGUGUGUGACAGACUGUGUGGGACAGGCUGUGUGUGACAGGGGAUGUGCAGGACAGGCUGAGUGUGACGGAGGGUGUGUGGGACAGGCUGUGUGUGACAUGAGGGGUGUGUGUGACAGGCUGUGUGUGACAUGGGGUGUGUGCGGGACAGGCUGUGUGUGACAUGGGGGGAUGUGCAGGACAGGCUGAGUGUGACAGGGGAUGUGUGGGACAGGGACUGUGUGUGACAGGGGAUGUGCAGGACAGGCUGUGUGUGACAUGGGGGAUGUGCGGGACAGGCUGAGUGUGACAGGGGGUGUGUGUGACAGGCUGAGUGUGACAGGGGGUGUGUGGGACAGGGUGUGUGUGACAGCCUGUGUGUGACAGGGGUUGUGCAGGACAGGCUGAGUGUGACAGGGACUGUGUGGGACAGGGGGUGUGUGACAGGCUGAGUGUGACAGGGGGUGUGUGACAGGGGCUGCAGGACAGGCUGAGUGGGAUAGGGGAGCGCAGGACAGGGAGCAUGGGACAGGCUGAGUGUGACAUGAGGGGUGUGCAGGACAGGCUGAGUGUGACAGGGACUG